UUGGGGUGUGACAAAUGAAGUGGUAUAGCUAUUAUAAUAUUAGAUAUUAGUUUGGAGUAAUACUUGGCUUUACUAUUAUGAUAUUAUGCAUAUAUGUUUUGAUCGACACUAUCACUAAUAUAAGAGAUGUACCCAUUUGACUUACCUAAGCUUUUUUGAGUUAUGAGAGUCUAUUUGGCUGUCUGACUCAUGUCCUUUGUACUG
rnacentral:lncRNA from 1 species